rnacentral:rRNA from 1 species
UACGUAGGGUGCAAGCGUUGCCCGGAAUUACUGGGCGUAAAGAGCUCGUAGGCGGCUUGUCGCGUUGUUCGUGAAAAUUUACCGCUCAACGGUGAACUUGCGGGCGAUACGGGCAGGCUAGAGUACUGCAGGGGAGACUGGAAUCCCUGGUGUAGCGGUGAAAUGCGCAGAUAUCAGGAGGAACACCGGUGGCGAAGGCGGGUCUCUGGGCAGUAACUGACGCUGAGGAGCGAAAGCGUGGGGAGCGAACAGG